GAUGAACGCUGGCGGCGUGCUUAACACAUGCAAGUCGAACGGAUCUGUUCCGCUGUAAGAUGAAGUGCUUGCAUCGAUUCUUACUUGGGACAGGUUAGUGGCGGACGGGUGAGUAACGCGUGGGUAACCUGCCUGUAUCUGGGGGAUAACAGUUAGAAAUGACUGCUAAUACCGCAUAAGCGCACAGUACCGCAUGGUACCGUGUGAAAAACUCCGGUGGAUACAGAUGGACCCGCGUUAGAUUAGCCGGUUGGUGGGGUAACGGCCUACCAAAGCAACGAUCCAUAGCCGGCCUGAGAGGGCGACCGGCCACAUUGGGACUGAGACACGGCCCAAACUCCUACGGGAGGCAGCAGUGGGGAAUAUUGCACAAUGGGGGAAACCCUGAUGCAGCGACGCCGCGUGAGUGAAGAAGUAUUUCGGUAUGUAAAGCUCUAUCAGCAAGGAAGAAAAUGACGGUACUUGACUAAGAAGCCCCGGCUAACUACGUGCCAGCAGCCGCCGUAAAAC
rnacentral:rRNA from 1 species